GAAGGAUCCAAGCGUUAUCCGGAUUUAUGGGUUUAAAGGGUGCGUAGGCGGGCUAUUAAGUCAGUGGUGAAAAGCCCCAAGCUUAACUUGGGAAUUGCCAUUGAUACUGAUGGUCUUGAGUACACUUGAAGUGGGCGGAAUGUGUCAUGUAGCGGUGAAAUGCUUAGAUAUGACACAGAACACCGAUUGCGAAGGCAGCUCACUAAACUGUAACUGACGCUGAGGCACGAAAGCGUGGGGAUCAAACAGGAUUAGAUACCCUGGUAGUCCACGCCCUAAACGAUGAUUACUCGAUGUGUGCAAUACACCGUACGCGUCUGAGCGAAAGCAUUAAGUAAUCCACCUGGGGAGUACGACCGCAAGGUUG
rnacentral:rRNA from 1 species